UCUGUAGGCGGUGCGGCAAGUCGGGAGUGAAAUCUCGGGGCUUAACUCCGAGGCUGCUUUCGAAACUGCCGUGCUCGAGUGUGGGAGAGGUGAGUGGAAUUGCAGGUGUAGCGGUGAAAUGCGUAGAUAUCUGCAGGAACACCAGAGGCGAAGGCGGCUCACUGGACCACAACUGACGCUGAGAGACGAAAGCUAGGGGAGCAAACAGGAUUAGAUACCCUGGUAGUCCUAGCCCUAAACCAUCAGGACUUGGCGUGGGUCCCGUUCGGGGCCCGUGUCGGAGCUAACGUGUGAAGUCCUGCGCCUGGGGAGUACGGUCGCAAGGCUGAA
rnacentral:rRNA from 1 species